GGAGGAGCGGCCUGGCUUUGUCUGAGUCAGGCGGCCCAGCGUGUGGGAUGUCAGGCUGGAUGUGCUGGGCCUGACCAGCCGCCCGCUUUCCUCUUCUCUUGCCUCUGCCUGCCCCCUCGUGGACAGCUGGGGUAAAGCAUGGGAGUGCGCCUUUGGGGUCUCAGUGGGGCUGAAAUACGACUCCUCCCCUAGGACAGCCUGCCUCCCCCAGCCUUGUUCUCCGGCAAAGUCAAUUUCCUGGAGAAUCGAGGCUCUGCCUCAGAUGUUCGGAGCCUCCGCAGGAUGAACACCUCCAUUUCAAUUCCAGGGGCCUUGAUCAACCUGUGCCUCCCUUGAUCCCCAACUUGUGGGCACCUUCCCUUGAGCAGUGCCCCCACGAGGUACACCUUUCCCGGGAAACAAAAAUCAUUCCUUCUUUGGGUCCUGCAAGCUGUAAAGAACCAAUACAGCACUGUGCUACUGAACAUGUUGCCACUAUAGAAGCCCCUUGUGUUUUGAAGAGUACAUCUCUAUAGCCAUUCAUUUAUUCAUCAGAAACCAGCUAGAAGCCAGGCCCUGUGCUGGGCACUGGAGACAUGGAAGAAACUGGGCUGAGGCUCCCGCCUUGAAGAGCUUGUGGCCCAGGGAAGGGACAGUUAAUCUGUCAUUGAUUGCCACGUGACAGUGUCUAUGAUGCUAAAAAGAUGCCAGUGCUGUGCUGCAGGAGCAAAGGCCGUGGAGGAAGGGGCUUUGGCUUUGUUGCGAGUUCUUGCCAGAGCCAGGCAAAGCCAGUUACCGCUUUGUUCAGAUGACUCAGGUAAAUAAAUGAGGCUACACAGGCUGUCCUGACACCACACACCUCUAGAAUACCCUGGCUGUGCUGGGAGCUAUUGGUGUCAGCUGAGUAUUUUCAUCCCUGUCCAAGUCACAAUGAUCUGACUGUACCAGCCUGUGUGGAUGUUGCUAAGAGGAGGCAGACAGCGCCAUGAGCUCCCUUAGAUGACGAUCGGCAUGAUGUUCCUGCUGUGGCAGCGCUCAGCUCUUGCCAAUGCUCUUCUCUGCUUUGCUCACUUUAAGCCUCUCUUAAUUUUUUUGAAGCCCAGUUUCCACAUUGCUGAUUCACAGAUAUGCAAGACUCAGGCAGGAAAAAAAAAAGUGUCUCCUUUUCCAGACUUCUUAGAGGACUUGGAAAGAAAAUGAAAUGACGUUGAACGAAAUCGAAGUAAAUUGAGUGAUCUGAAACGAUUUGAUGUCAGCAAGAAUUCCCCAUACAGCUCACAGCCCUACCCCGAGCACGCCUCCCUCUUGGGUAUGCUCUCUGCAGGCCCAAACCUUGCAGAAGCCAUUCCAUGUUUCCUGAGCAGGAAAAGACAAACUCAGACCGACAACCUUGGACUUCAAAAGACGGCACACAAGGGGAGGAAGGACUGAGAGUACCAAGGCGUGAGAAUUCAGAAUGCUGCUAUCUCAUUUAUUUUUACCAUUUAGGAAACGUUUUGAUCUGCAUCCUUUUCCCUUCCCUGAUUUCAAAAAAUAAAAAUAAAAAUGCUUCGGUUCUGAGGAGUAACUCUCCA